UACGUAGGCAGCGAGCGUUGUUCGGAGUUACUGGGCGUAAAGGGUGUGUAGGCGGUUCUUUAAGUUUGGUGUGAAAUCUCCCGGCUCAACCGGGAGGGUGCGCCGAAUACUGAGGGACUAGAGUACGGGAGAGGAAAGUGGAAUUCCAGGUGUAGCGGUGAAAUGCGUAGAUAUCUGGAGGAACACCGGUGGCGAAGGCGGCAUCCUGGACCAAUUCUGACGCUGAGGAGCGAAAGCCAGGGGAGCAAACGGG
rnacentral:rRNA from 1 species